ACCAUUUCUUUUUGUACAAUGAGUCAAAAAGAAAACUUUAUCGAUAAUUUUAUAAGAUAGUCGUCAUUGGUUUUGGCCCGUCUUAUGAAAAUUGAGGAUGGAGUUAGAAGAGUGAUAUAUCGAAGAAUACCAAUUUAAUACGGAGACAUUUUAUUGCAAUAUUAAAGUACAUAUAUACGUCUUUUUUUUUGUUAACCGGUUGAAGAGAAAGGAAAACAAAAAGAAAAGAAAAGAAUAGAGAGAGAAAAAGAGAGAGAGAGAGAGAGAGGAGAGAGAGAGAGAGAGAGCAAAUGUCUGCUACGAAAGUAAUCGAUCUUUCCAUCGAUCUAUCGUCCAUCGUUUCAUACCUACCUGAUCAUGAUCAAGAAGGAACAUGGAAUUUUUCUUUUUUAAAAUCACCCAAUCAUUAUCGCUCCAAUUUAAUGAUAAUGUUUAUAGUACUGAAGGUAAAAAAAUUGAAAUGAAAAAGAUUUAAACGAUUAAAGAAAUAAGAAAAGUGAACAUAAAAAAGUAAAAAAAAUAAAAAGAAAUAAAAAAAAAUAAAAAAAAAAAAAUAAAAAAAAAGAGAGAGGAAGAGUGAGAGAGUUGGGGGACGACUCUGUCCAUCGCGAUGUGUCGUUAUCGUUAUCAGGGUGGGGCUUCGAUAUCGAUGAGGGCCUCCCUAACGGGAUUUUCCUAUCAGUUGUCUCUUGGCACGGUUACUUGCUUGUUUGCGCGCGCGCGCGCGCGCGCACGCACUCACUCACUCACUCACUCACUCACUCACUCACUCACUCACUCAUGUACAAACCCUCUUACAAUCUUAACACGUAAAUGGUCAAAUAUUAUAGAUAAAUUCUUGUAUAUGUAUGUCUAUGUUUGUGUGUGUAUCACACACAUCAAACUCUUUCUCUCUCUCUCUCCUCUGCUCUUUCUUUUUCUAUAUACAUAUAUUUUAUAUAUAUAGGGCCCAAUGCACACGUUCUACUAGUACGGCCAACUUGGAGACUCACCUUUUUCGCUUGUAACAUUAACGUGAUCGACGUCGCACGCGAUGAAUCUCAUUUUUCGAAAUUCUCCUGCCAGUUUAGAUAUCUUUGAAAAGACGAUUACGAGAACGAUAUGACUUUAGUAUCAUUGUAUCGGCGUGUACGAACGAACGAACGAACGAACGAACGAACGAACUUACGAAUGUUAUAUGGACCAUCGUUAACGGGAAAAUUUCUGUGUGUGAAAUAAUAUCUAAAAGGAAGGAAAAGGGAGAGGUAGUGAACAGCUGAUCGAAGGGAUUGAGGAUGAUCGGCCAUAUACUUCUUACACGUACUUCUUCUUCUUCUUCUUCUUCUUCUUCUUCUUGCCAAGUUUUUGUGCAGUGUUAAAAAGAAAAGAGAAAGAAAGAAAAGAAAGAGAAAGAGGGAUAUAGCGAGCGGGAAAAAGGGAGAGAUAGAUAGAAAGAAAGAGAGAGAGAGAGAAAGAGGGAAAAAGGUUUGCCCGACCCUCAGUUGGAAGUGAGGAUCUAGGCAGUGAGUAAUAAAAGCUCUGAUAACUUGCCAGAUCUAACUCUUCCAGCUCAAGGUUGUGCGGAUUAUCGUCGUCGAUCAUCGAAAUUGAUUCUUCCGACUUUCUUGAUCCAAGGAAUAUGAUCUCGCGUCUAAACAAGAAUAAAACAUAUAUAUAUAUAUAUAUAUAUAUAUAUAUAUAUAUAUAUAUAUAUAGAGAGAGAGAGAGAGAGAGAGAGAGAGAGA